rnacentral:rRNA from 1 species
CCUACGGGGGGCAGCAGUGGGGAAUAUUGGACAAUGGGAGGAACCCUGAUCCAGCCAUGCCGCGUGUGUGAAGAAGGCCCUCGGGUUGUAAAGCACUUUCAGUGAGGAAGAACGCCUGGUGGUUAAUACCCAUCAGGAAAGACAUCACUCACAGAAGAAGCACCGGCUAACUCCGUGCCAGCAGCCGCGGUAAUACGGAGGGUGCGAGCGUUAAUCGGAAUUACUGGGCGUAAAGCGCGCGUAGGUGGCUUGAUAAGCCGGUUGUGAAAGCCCCGGGCUCAACCUGGGAACGGCAUCCGGAACUGUCAAGCUAGAGUGCAGGAGAGGAAGGUAGAAUUCCCGGUGUAGCGGUGAAAUGCGUAGAGAUCGGGAGGAAUACCAGUGGCGAAGGCGGCCUUCUGGACUGACACUGACACUGAGGUGCGAAAGCGUGGGUAGCGAACAGGAUUAGAUACCCGUGUAGUC